rnacentral:rRNA from 1 species
GCGACUGAUUAGAAGCUUGCUUCUAUGACGUUAGCGGCGGACGGGUGAGUAACACGUGGGCAACCUGCCUGUAAGACUGGGAUAACUUCGGGAAACCGAAGCUAAUACCGGAUAGGAUCUUCUCCUUCAUGGGAGAUGAUUGAAAGAUGGUUUCGGCUAUCACUUACAGAUGGGCCCGCGGUGCAUUAGCUAGUUGGUGAGGUAACGGCUCACCAAGGCAACGAUGCAUAGCCGACCUGAGAGGGUGAUCGGCCACACUGGGACUGAGACACGGCCCAGACUCCUACGGGAGGCAGCAGUAGGGAAUCUUCCGCAAUGGACGAAAGUCUGACGGAGCAACGCCGCGUGAGUGAUGAAGGCUUUCGGGUCGUAAAACUCUGUUGUUAGGGAAGAACAAGUACGAGAGUAACUGCUCGUACCUUGACGGUACCUAACCAGAAAGCCACGGCUAACUACGUGCCAGCAGCCGCGGUAAUACGUAGGUGGCAAGCGUUAUCCGGAAUUAUUGGGCGUAAAGCGCGCGCAGGCGGUUUCUUAAGUCUGAUGUGAAAGCCCACGGCUCAACCGUGGAGGGUCAUUGGAAACUGGGGAACUUGAGUGCAGAAGAGAAAAGCGGAAUUCCACGUGUAGCGGUGAAAUGCGUAGAGAUGUGGAGGAACACCAGUGGCGAAGGCGGCUUUUUGGUCUGUAACUGACGCUGAGGCGCGAAAGCGUGGGGAGCAAACAGG